rnacentral:rRNA from 1 species
CCUACGGUGGGCAGCAGUGAGGAAUAUUGGUCAAUGGACGAGAGUCUGAACCAGCCAAGUCGCGUGAAGGAUGACUGCCCUAUGGGUUGUAAACUUCUUUUAUCAAGGAAUAAAACGAGGCACGUGUGCCUUUUUGCAAGUACUUUAUGAAUAAGGAUCGGCUAACUCCGUGCCAGCAGCCGCGGUAAUACGGAGGAUCCGAGCGUUAUCCGGAUUUAUUGGGUUUAAAGGGAGCGUAGGGGGGAUGUUAAGUGAGUUGUGAAAUUUUGCGGCUCAACCGUCAAAUUGCGGUUGAUACUGGCAGUCUUGAGUACAGUAGAGGUAGGCGGAAUUCGUGGUGUAGCGGUGAAAUGCAUAGAUAUCACGAAGAACCCCGAUUGCGAAGGCAGCAUACU